UUCCCAUACAAUCACAGAAGUUAAGCAAUAUCAAGCCUAGUCAAUACCUUGAUGGGUGACCGCUUGGGAAAACUAGGUGCUGUAUG
rnacentral:rRNA from 1 species